rnacentral:pre_miRNA from 1 species
AGGGGGAGGCCGGAUCCUGGGCUGUGUCCCGGCGCCCUGUGCUCCGGGGCCUGUGCUGUUGGAUUCGCGCUCCCGCCCCGCAGCCCCCU